GUCUUGUUUAUAAACAGAUGGCAGACUGGCAGUCCUACCUGUAUAUCUGAAGUUCUGGAAUUACACAUGUGUCCCCCACACUCAACUAACAACUAACUCAACUAACAACUUUGUUUUGGUUUCUGUCUAUUUUUAUAGCUUUUUUUUAUUAGAUAUUUUCUUUAUAUACAUUUCAAAUGCGAUCACGAAAGUUCCCUAUACCCUCCCUCCGCCCUGUUCCUCUAUCCACCCACUCCCGCUUCUUGGCCCUGGCAUUUUCCUGUACUGGGGCAUAUAAAGUUUGCAAUACCAAGGGGCCUCUCUUCCCGGGCCAUCUUCUGCUACAUAUGCAGCUAGAGACACGAGCUCUGGGGGGUCUUGGUUAAUUCAUAUUGUUGUUCCACCUAUAGGGUUGCAGACCCCUUCAACUCUUUGAGUGCUCUCUCUAGCUUCUCCAUUGGGGGCCCUGUGUUCCAUCCUAUAGAUGACUGUGAGCAUCCACUUCUGUAUUUGCCAGGCGCUGGCAUAGCCUCAUACAAGACAGCUAUACCAGGGUCCCUUCAGCAAAAUCUUUCUGGCAUGUGCAAUAGUGUCUGGGUUUGGUGGCUGAUUAUGGGAUGGAUCCCCAGGUGGGGUAGUCUAUAGCUAUUUUUAAGUUGAUUCCUACUCUGUAGCUCUAUAUAGCUUAGGUCUUACUAUAGUCUAGGCCAGCCUAAAGCUUUGUCAUCCGCCUACUUCCUACCCCACUUGAAGGGCUGGGAUUAAAGGCAUGCAUUAACAUGCGUGGCAACUUUUUUUCCUCUUUAGUGCUCUCCCAGGUGAUUGUUUAGUGUGUCCAGUGAGCUGUAUAUCUGGCCCCAAGACACAGUCUUGAUAAUUGAAUUAGACCCCAUACAUGUAGUGGGAGGCAGGAAGGAGGAAGAGAGGAAACCUUCCUCUUUUGCAGAGAUUUUACAGAAAGCAAGUGGGCGUGGACUCAGGUUUUCCUACAGUGUUUAUUUAGCUCACUGAACUGUGUGUUUUUAGCACCUGUGCCCCAGCUCCCACCGACUGCUUAGCCUUUGCACUAAGUUGGGUUUUCACUGCUAUCAGAAAAACAAACAAAAAAGAAGCAACUUUGGGAUUUGUUUUAUUUUAGCAGUUGUUUAAGUCUUGCCAGUAUGAUUCAAUAUGAGUAGUAAACGUACAGAAACUAGAAAAGCCAUUAUAAUAUACUGUCUGGAAGCUGCUAGUGAAACUAGCCCCACUCCUCGCCUUUUGUUGGUUUGUAUAUUUAAGCACUAGUCAUACUUUUCUAGAUUGUUAUUUUCAGGCUUCCUUUGUUUUUGUUUUUGUUGUUGUUUUUGAGGCAGGAUCUUGCUCUAUAUCCCUGGCUACCCUCAAACUCAACUUUGGAGACCAGGCUAUCUGAAGCUUCCAGUGAGCCUGCCCACGUCUCCUGAGUGUGCUUAGGUUAGGUUAUAGGUCUGCAUUUUCCAUUGAAAUGCUUCUUCUGCCUUGUACUUAACUCUUUUUAUUAAAAAUAUUUCCUAGUUAACUUCACAAAUUGGUUAUUUUUUCUGCCAGGUGUCGUUUGAAUCUAAAAUACAACUUAGAAGCAAACAAGAAUUGCAGUUUUUUGAUGAUGACGAAGAAGCUGGGGAGAGCCAUACAAUCUUCAUUGGCCCUGUAGAAAAGUGAGCAAAUGCUUUUUAUGUUUUCAGUGCUUAAAAAUGUCUGUUUCUGUGCUAAGUAAUGUUUUCUUUUUCUUUUAUUAUAGAUUGAUAGUAUACCCACCACCUCCAGCUAAGGGAGGCAUUUCUGUUACUAAUGAGGACCUGCACUGUCUAAGUGAAGGAGAGUUUUUAAAUGAUGUUAUUAUCGACUUUUAUUUGAAGUAAGUUAACUGACUUAUUAGCAAACCUGACAUUCUGCCAUUGCAUGUCUUUUUAAAUCUUUGCUUUCUAAAAUCAGACUUUUAAUUAGAAAUUUUUGUCACUGCCAUAUAGUGUGUCAUGUGAGAAGAGUAAUCUUCUAGUCAAGUUUCUUUCUCUAAUUUUGUUUCGUCAUUUUUAAAAAUGAGAAUAAGCUCUUCCAGAGGUCCUGAGUUCAAUUCCCAGCAACCACAUGAUGGCUCACAACCAUUUUUAAUGAGAUGUGAUCUCUUCUUCUGGUGUGUCUGAAGUUAGCGAUCGUGUACUCACACACACAAGUAAAUCUUUUCCAAUGAGAAUAAAGGGUUAUGAGAGUUGAAUGAGGUACUACAUGUGAGACAGUAAGGAAGUGCCAGCACAGUUUUCAUAAACACCAACUUAGUAUGUGUUUACUGUCUGUGUAGUGAAAGGGCACAUACAUGAAACAAAAUAAAACUCAGCCUCCUUAUAUCCAGGCUGAUGGUUUCUAGUUCCUAGAUAUUUCAGCAUCUCUUAACUCAAAGCAUGUUUUGAAACCUGAAAAUUUGAUUUAAUAGCCCAGUAGUGGAAUUCACUUCACACUUUGAGGGAAAAGACAUUUAACUUCUGCUCCAGGGAUCUGAUAUCCUCUUCUGGCUUCCAGUGCCACCAGCACUCAGAUGCACACAAAACAUAAAGUAUGAGAAAUGUAUUUCUAAUGUUGUUUUGGAUAGCAUUGUAGCUCAGCUUGGCUUGGAUAGGAAUAUUUAGCAAGCAUGUGUGAAAUCCCUGCAGCUUUUAUGCCUAAUUUUUCUAUAAAAUUAUUAGAAAAGAUUGUUAAAAGUCUCUAGCUUGCUGUUUUUUCUUCCUCUUAUUUAUUUAAGAUUUAUGUGUUUAUUUUAUGUAUAUGAGUACUCUGUCUCUGUCUUCAGACACACUAGAAGAGGGCGUCAGAUCCCAUUACAGAUGGUUGUGAGCCACCAUGUGGUUGCUGGGAUUUGAACUCGGGACUUCUGGAAGAGCCGUCAGUGCUCUUAACCACGGAGCCAUCUCUCCAGCCCCCUAGCUUGCUGUUUUUAAAGCCACCUGUAUAAGUUCUAUUGGUAGGAAAAUGUGCUUUUAUUACCUUGGUGAGCUAACCCUUUAUCAUUAUGUGAUGCCCUUCCUUAUCCCUGACCUUCCUCUUCCUGAGGCUGCUUUGUUGACAGUGUUGAUGUUUCUUUUCACUUUCAUGGCAGGCACUUCAUCCUUUUAUUUUUAACCCUUUACGUCAUAUUUUGGAGUUACUGCUGCUGCUGCUCCCGCUUCUUUGGGACAGAAUCUCACAUAUACUGUGCUGGCCUUAGUCUAGCUUCCAAUUAAAUUUUAUAUAAUAAACCUCUGAUUUAAAACAUGCAGUUAAUAAAGGAAAUCUAGGAAAAUGCAUCAUACUUUUAAAUUUUUAUUUGUAUUCAUAUUUUGAGAAGUGAAAUAAAAGGAUUGUUUUUCUCAUUGUUCUGUGAGAGUUUUUGUUUGUUUUAAGAUUUAAUUUUGUUUUUAUUUGUGUGUGUAGGCAGAUAUGUGCACAGGUACCUACUCCUAGAGCUGGAGUUACAGGGCUUGUGAACCCCCCAAGUAGUUGGUGGGAACUGAACUGGGGUCCUUUGAUGGAAGAGCGGGAAGCACCUUUAAUUGCAACCCCUUGUUUUACUUGAUGGAGAAAGGAUUUGGGGAGAUGGUUAAGUGGGUAAGGCUACUUGCUCUGUAAGCAAGAGACCUCAGCUUGAAUGCUCAGCUCUUCUGCACAAGGCACAUCUACCUUCAUUGUCUGUGACCUCAGGGUGAGCAAAGACAAACGGACACACCAAUCUGGCUGUCUAGCCAUCAAGGCCAUAAGAGAGUUAUAGGGGAAGAUUAAUGUCUUUUAAAACCACAGACUUGGGGACUGAAAAGAUGGCUUAGCAGUUCAGAGCACGUGCUAUUUUUGCAGAAGACCCAGGUUCACUUUGUUGUUGUUGUUGUUGUUGUUGUUGUUGUUGUUGUUGUUGUUUUUUCAAGACAGGGUUUCUCUGUGUAGCCCUGGCUGUCCUGGAACUCACUUUGUAGACCAGACUGGCCGCAAACUCAGAAAUCCGCCUGCCUCUGCCUCCGCCUCCCGAGUGCUGGGAUUAAAGGCGUGGAUCACCACACCUGGCUCCAGGUUCACUUUCUAGCACCCACGUGGUGGCUUACAACUGUCUCUGACUCUAGUUCAAGGGGAUCCAGCACCCUCUUCUGGUCUCCUGGGACCCUAGGCACACACAUAGCACACAAAUAGGCAAGAUACACACAUAUAUAAAGUAAAAAUAAAUCUUUAAAAAAUAUGGAUAUGGCUAUAUAUAAAAAGCAUGGAAUUUUUGUUUGGCUUUUCGUUAUUUGGUGGCAGGGGUUUUGUGGGGACAUCUUUCUUCUACUGUGUCAGUUUUGGGCAUCACACUCAGGUUGUCAGGCUCCAUCCAUGCCUUUUUAUUUGCUGAGCCAUGUUGAUAGCCCAGAACAGGUGGGUUUGCGCAUGCUUGCUUGUGGGUUUUCUCGUAUUUUGGAGACAGGGAGGACCUUGCUGUGUCUGCCAAGCUGGUCUCAUUCACAGCAAUCCUCCUGUUUCUGCUCUUCCAAAUGUUGGGAUUUUAAGUAGGGACUAUCUGGCACCUGGCUAGGCAGCUUUCUUAACUCACAAAUACCUUAUCCUCACCCCUUUUGAGUUGUACCUUUAUUUAUUUAAUUCAAAUUUUUGAGUUUUUAAAAAUCUCACUCUGUAGUGUAGCCUGCCUGGCAUUGAACUUGGACUAUAGCCUAAACAAACCCAGAAAUUUCUAUUUUCCUAUCUGCUCUCGAGCAUGAAAAAAAUGUAGUCAGGAAUAACAAUGCCCAACUAAGUUGAAGUUUUCAAAAGUAGCUUUUGGCCAGCAAGAGCAGUAUGGAUUUUCUUUUAGGUAUAGCUCCAAUCUUCUAACUAGCUUACUAUGUGUUCUGUUAGGAAUAUUAUUGCAGAAAUCAAUAACUGAUUCAAACCGUGUGUUGAGGGGAUUAUCUUUUAUAAUGCCUUUUGUAGGGCCCCUGAGCUGCCUCCGUAUAAGAAUUCUUUCUGGUUGUAUCCUUUUUAUUGAAGCUCAAGCUUUGGGCCAGAGAGAGAGCUCAGUAGGUGAUGGUGCUUGGCAUGUCCCAUGCCAGCCUGCUGCCCAGAAGCCACAGUGGGAAGAAAGUACUGACUCAGCGAAGUUGUCUCUACUUAUAUGUUUUGGCAUGCAUGUUGCUCCUUCCCAGACGACACAUCAUCAUCAUCAUCAUAAACAACAAUAAUAUCUUUUUUAAAACUUGAGAUUCAAAAUUAUCAAAUGGUAUAAAGUAAAAGGCCUUUGAGGAGAACAGACGUCUAAGUACUUUGUAUUUCUGUGUAAGAUUUCACAAGACUUUCAUACUAUCUUACCAAGAGAAUAUGGCCAUAAACCUGAUUCACCUAACUUCUGUGACAAGUUUGAAACAUAAACAAUUAAAUUUAUUAAAUUAUAAUUUCCCUUGCAAUAUAAGUGAUCAUGGAUGUUUGUUUAUAUAAGUCUCCAGCACAAUAGCAAGAAAAACAAGAAUGUUUUAAAAAAAGAUUUAUUCACUUUACAACCCAAUAUCAGCCGUACCUUUCUUCCUGGUACCCCUCAUGCAAGUCUUCUCCCCAUUCCACUCCCCCUUUCCUUCUGAGAAGGGGAAGCCCCUCUCACGGUGGAUUCUUAAGUUUUUAUUUCAUGCGUGUGAGUGUUGGCUGGCAUGUUUGUAGCGUGUGUGCACACUGGAAGCUAGAGUUACACAUGGCUGUGUGCACACGUGACCUGACUGCUGAGCCCUCUCUUCAGCUCUGGGACUAGCUUCUUAUUCUGCAUAAUAUUUUUAAAAUUCUUCUUCCUUGUCCUGUUUAUGGCAGCCAUUCCUUCUGAGUAUCAUAUUGUAUAUAUUUUAUUUUUCCAUUCAUUAGUAAAUUAGCAUUUCUGCUAAUUUUUUUACAGUUUUGAAUAAUGCUUCUGUGAAUCUUUCUAGAAAAUAUUUCUGUAUUUUCUGGGUUAGAGUUUGUUUUUAAAAUAUAUCUUUCAAGUCAUAGUUUUAAUUCU
rnacentral:lncRNA from 1 species